CCCCCCCCCCCCCCCCUUCUGUCAGGGCAGCGGAGCGGCUCCGCCCCGGUGCUGGCAGAAUGAGGUGAAAAUGCCCCCGCACAGCCCCCGAGCCGGCUCCAAGCGCCCUGCUCAAUAAUUCAAGUGAGCUGAGCUGCCUUCGGCUGGGCAGCAGAAGGGAGGGGGCGUGCUGGGGCGGGCAGACGGGGAGCCCUGCGGAGAGUGCCGGGAUGCACCUAUCGGAUGCACAGCCUUCUGAUGGCUGAAAUUAGAUUUUAUAUAGACACACAGCGUGUUUUUGCAUCGCAGCUUGGGCGAUUGCCUCGCACCCCCCUAAGCGGCGGCUCCUUGGCCCCGGAGUCUGCAGCUCGGGCUGCCUCGUGGCGUGCCUCGAGGGAGGGGAAGGCCCGAGGGAAAGGCCGGAGCUCCGCAGGGUGUGAGGCAGCCCCAGUUAAGCUGGGCAGGCUGCUGGGGGGGGUUUAUUUUAGCCUCGCAUGUCUGAAUUUAUUGAGAGACUUCACAGUGGCCGUAAAGUACUUAAGAACCUAUAUAUACAUUUUUGAAAAGAACACCAUUGGUGUCACGGAGCUAGCUCUGGCAUGGGAUAUAGCAGCUGGGUACCACAGAACAGCAGCACGGCCAUAUCAAGGUCUCUUGAGCUAUCCUCUGGUCUCAGGGAAAACGGUAUCUAUGUGGAUACUCACGUAUGAACACACCAAACUUGGUUUGCGUGCCUGUUCUCAACAGUUUCUUCAUGCUUCAUAUUCUAAUCACCUACUGACUGCCAGAGAUUGCACAGAGGUCAAAGUCCCACUGCCCAGUGUCAUCACAUUCAAAUCCCACAGUAACCUGAAUAGGGAAGUAAUGCUGUGUACAUGACUGAUGUCAUCUCAGUACAGAGCAGCCCAAGCCCUAACACAGCUAUGUCACCAUGAACUAUGUGGUCAUACCUACAUCACAAAGUAAAGCAGCCAUAUCAAAUGGGAUCGUGUCUGUACUUCACUCAGAGGUCUGCAGUGGCCUGAAGCUGCAGUCCAUCAUGAG
rnacentral:lncRNA from 1 species